CAAUAGCGUAUACUAAAGUUGUUGCGAUUAAAAAGCUCGUAGUUGGAUCUCAGGCAUGGGCGCACGGUCCGCCUCGCGGCGGUCACUGUGUGUUUUGUUUCCCAUCCUACGCUUCCCGGUUAUCAGCCCAUGGUGCUCUUCACUGAGCGUUUUGGGUGGCCGGAACGUUUACUUUGAAGAAAUUAGAGUGUUCAAAGCAGGCACGUCGCCUGAAUAAUGGUGCAUGGAAUAAUGGAAUAGGACCUCGGUUCUAUUUUGCUGGUUUUCGGAACACGAGGUAAUGAUUAAGAGGGACAGACGGGGGCAUCCGUAUUGCGGUGUUAGAGGUGAAAUUCUUGGAUCAUCGCAAGACGAACAACUGCGAAAGCAUUUGCCAAGCAUGUUCUCAUUAG
rnacentral:rRNA from 1 species